CUGCUACGGUCCAACGCCCCAGCAGAGACACGCCGAGAGAACAAUAACGACCCCCAGGACUAUUCUCCUGACUGUGGACGUACGGGAGAGACAGAGCCUGACCUUCCACCCGAACCUGGCCCACCACCGGAAGCCCAGGAGGAGCGGAGAUAUCCUAUUCGACAGCGAAGGGCACCUCAAAAGCUUGACCUGUGAGUUGAGCUGUUUAAGAUGAAGCAGAUGAUGGAGAGAACAGGGAACAGUCACCUGCUGACCACUCUGUCCUACCCUGGAGCUGGUCACCUGAUUGAACCUCCGUAUGGUCCCAACUGCAGGGCUUGUACCUUUGUGUUGCAGCCAGGCCAACAGAGAGUGGUCGUGCUGUGGGGAGGCCUCACCAAACCUCACGCCGUUGCACAGGAAGACUCAUGGGAGAAGAUUCUAGAUUUUCUGCAAGAGCAUCUCUGUCACAGUGUCAAACCCCAUGUGCAGUCCAGAUUGUGUCUUACUUGUCUUACGUCAGGUGGCGUCACUCCUACGCAACACUCGUCCCUCAACCGAUCAGUGCAGGCGGAAUCAUUGCUCUAUCUGACAUAAGACAAUGGACUGUGAGGUAAUUAACAAUGGACACCAUGCAGAUCAGACAAAGAAAUAAACAAAGAUAACUGUUCCUGCCCAGAUGCCUAAUGAUUACACCAAACUGUAUCAAUGGCCUCAUUGUAUGAUGUAAGUUCUGAUAUGAAUGCAAUUUGUUUAAGUACGGAUUUUUUGGUAUGUAUUUUUCAUUUGAACCAUAUGGUUUGAUUAAAAUGUGUUUGGUAUUUGGUAUUUUAUUAUUAUAUUAUAUUUAUUAUGUUGCAAAAGCAGCAGCUACUCUUCCUGGGGUCCA